GCAACAGUGGUCUAACGGUUAUGAUCCGGUCUUCCCAUUUGUGCGUGGCCGGGAAAGGGGUUCGACUCCCCUCUGUUGCA